CAUCGACAUUUAGAAAAUCCUCGAAGGCACGGAUGUCUGUGAGGGUCAACAUUCUUUCCGUGGGGACGCACGACCUGUCACACAGGACUUUGACAAAUGACGUCAGGCUCUUUUCAUUUGUUCCUGUCAGUUUCUUAUAUAACUAGUCUGGACAUUGUCUAUAUUUCAAUACGAGAUCAAUGACGUCCCUGGCAGUCUCGUGUUCUGUAAGUCUCAACCAUGUAUCUCUACUAACUUUAUUAGCACGGACGAAUCCCAUGAUAAUGGCUCGUGCUAAACACAUUUUGUCUUUGUUCUUUAUCUCAAUGAUAGAUAUUUUCUUGUGAAGAGAGUUAUCCGAACCCUCUAAAUUAUUGAUUAAUAUGGCUCUCGUACCACCUUUUGGUAACUGUAUCGUACCGACAUCGAUGCGAAAACUUUGAUCUAACGGUAAAUGUUCGUGACUAUUCAACACGCUUUGCAAAUGAUCUGUAACGGAUCUUCCGGUCAAAUCUCUCAAGGGUCUGAGUGACACAUAUGGGAUUUACGAGAUCCCCAUGAUGUAUGAUGAUGCGUCCUAGGUCAGAACUUUGCAGGCCCUCUGAACCUCUUUGUAUUAUGUCAUCAAACAUGUUUUCUAUUUCAUGAUAAAACUUGGACAAAUCCUGACCUUCUGUGUCGGGAUUUACGUCCAAUGUCACUUCGUAAUGACGGUCUAUGGCUGUAUUCCGGAACGCCCUCUCAUUCUUCUUGCUUAAGCGAUAUGCCAAGGGUUUAGAUGUAGGCGACCCUAGGUCAUCCGUGUCUGAAAUUCCCGUAUCAUUGCUUCGAUCUGAUUCACCCCUCCAGAUUGCGUCAUUGGGGUCUUUUUUGUAGCUUCACUAUCGUUUCUAUAAUAUAAACAACCGCUGCUAGGACCUGGUACGGGGGACGCAGUGUCGUGCCUCUCUGUAGGUACGGACAUGAUAUUGACAUCUUGCAGAGAAUUCAGAAAAUCGGAGUCCGGAAGAAAUACAUCCUCGAAAGAAAGAGUGGGAAAGUCUGAUAUUUCUCCUAAUAUGUCGUCAUUCGGUAAUUGAUAAUUCAAAAGACUCUCCAAGAAUUCGUCAGAAAAAGUCAUUUCAUAUUCACAUCCCUCUUUGGCCUUUUUCUCAGAGAUAGGUCCAUCGGAGGAUGCUGGAAGUCGCUGUCGUCGUGAAGCGAUUCAUGCACAAACAAGUCAUCCAAAUCAUUGCUAACGAAAUUACAGCAUCGGCAUCUAAACCCAGCCUCCGCCAUAGUCUGUCAGAGAGAAAACAGAUUUGAGUGCAUUUGUUCUGUGUUAUUACUUAAAAACAAAAUGAAUGAUUCAUUCGCCUAACUAUGAAAGAGGGAAAUAUCUUGUAAUAUAUAUAUUAAAUAAAGGAGUGUCCAUAUCCGUGACUCAAAGUUUUCACAGAAGAGUAGAUUGAAGGAAAAUAUAGAGAUAAAAAAAACGGGUAUAAAACUCUUUUUCUGUAAUAUUGAUAUAAUAUCUAUAUUUUAACAUAUCUUUAUAUGUAAUUUUAGUCCUUGACAUCGGUGUCUUCAAACGACGUGGGGCUUCAUCCAGUGAUUAAAAAAAAUCCUCGCAGGAUUAAUCGGAAUUUAUGAAAUAUUAAAUGGUAUAUUUCAAAGACAUAUUCUUAAUAAAACGUAUUCAAAUUAAUAAAUAUUCUUUUUUUUCAACAGGAAAAUAAAACGUUACCGUGACUUUGAACAACUAAAAACCUUCUUUUCUUAAUCGUUUGGCUGAACCAAAGGAUGGUUCUCAUGGACAGGAUUCGGGAGCUCCAGGAGGAGAUAAGAGAGAUACAGUCCUCCAUCAAUGAUGUGAUGGAGUAACUAAUUUUCGUGGAGAAACUUAUUUAGUGCGCUUCUUUCUGGAAAUACAUCAAGGAUACCUGAAUGUGUGUUUCGAUUUGUUUAAAGGAAUUAAUUUCGGAAUGUGUCUCUUAAGGAUAAUAUCAGGAUUUAAAUAUUAUAUAAAGGUUUUUGAUAAUUAAAUUGGUAAGCAAUUCCUUUUUUUUUUUCAUUAUUCUGGUAUAUUUUAGGUAUCCUUGAUGUUAUUCCAAGGGAAGAGCACUAAAGUGAUGAUGUGUUGAUAUAGGGACACUCCUUUAUGUAAUAUGUAUAUAUAUAUAUAUCAUUGAAAAACGAGAAUCCAUGUACACUAUAUUCAUACUUAUGUAUAUAUAUUAUAUAUUAAUUAUUCAAUUGCAAAUCUAGUGAUUUUUUUUAAUCCUCAAAUAAUAAUUUACCUUUCUGUAUAUAUCUGUAUCUUUUUCUUCGGUCUGGUUAGCGUUCCUAUGUUAACAUUUCGGUAUAUUACAAUUGCUGGUCAACUGAUCAGUUGAAUUUACAGUGAUAAAUUACCUAACAUUGUGUAAUAACUAUUUUUAUUAACCAAUGAAAUGUUGAAUUUGUCUAAACGUAAUUAAACGUAAUGUAACGUUUU